rnacentral:miRNA from 1 species
UAUGAAACUGUGAUUCCACGUCAU